AGGGAAAGAAAGUGUGAGACUCUUCUCUCCAAUUAACCACUAAAAAGCCAGAAUUAGAGCUGUGGCUCAAUGGCCAAAGAGACAGGCAGAGUUGGCUGCACACUGUGGAAGGAGCCAGCACCACUCAGUGCCCAGGCCUAGCUCAGGGCCACCCUACCACCAGGGUCCCUGGUUUAGACUGACCAUUGACCACCUGUGUGUCAACAGCCGGAUGUUGGCCAACCUAUGGCUUAGUUCCUCCUUUAACAAGGGAGGAACUCAUUCUGCUGGGCUGAAGUGGGCACCAAAGUGCUCUCUUCAGUGAGCCCCAUCUGGCUGUCAACAAACCUGAAGCCUGGUGAUUGAGGCAAGAUGAGCCUGCUAAGAUGAGCACCCAUUCUAUGAUGUGCUGCCUUUCCAGAGGCCCAAAGUAACAGAACCAAUAAAUCAUGGACUAGAACCUCCAACAUUGAAAGCUAAAAUAAACCUUUUCUCUUUUUAA